rnacentral:rRNA from 1 species
UACGUAGGGUGCAAGCGUUGUCCGGAAUCAUUGGGCGUAAAGCGCGCGUAGGCGGCCCGAUAAGUCCGCUGUAAAAGUCAACGGCUCAACUGUUGAAAGCCGGUGGAUACUGUCGGGGCUAGAGUACGGAAGAGGCAAGUGGAAUUCCUGGUGUAGCGGUGGAAUGCGCAGAUAUCAGGAGGAACACCUAUAGCGAAGGCAGCUUGCUGGGACGUUACUGACGCUAAGGCGCGAAAGCUAGGGGAGCAAACGGG